UACAGAGGUCCCAAGCGUUGUUCGGAUUCACUGGGCGUAAAGGGUGCGUAGGUGGCCGGGUAAGUCUGACGUGAAAUCUCCGAGCCUAACUCGGAAACUGCAUCGGAUACUAUCCGGCUUGAGGAUUGGAGGGGGGGACUGGAAUACUUGGUGUAGCAGUGAAAUGCGUAGAUAUCAAGUGGAACACCAGUGGCGAAGGCGAGUCCCUGGACAAUUCCUGACACUGAGGCACGAAAGCUAGGGGAGCAAACAGG
rnacentral:rRNA from 1 species